UGGCUCAGACGGUAAAGCGUCUGCUUGCAAUGCAGGAGACCUGGGUUCAAUUCCUGG
rnacentral:tRNA from 1 species